UCCUACGGGAGGCAGCAGUGGGGAAUAUUGGACAAUGGGGGAAACCCUGAUCCAGCGACGCCGCGUGGGUGAAGAAGGCCUGCGGGUUGUAAAGCCCUUUCGUUGGGGAAGAAAUGUUCCGACCUAAUACGUCGGGACCUUGACGUUACCCAAAGAAGAAGCACCGGCUAACUCUGUGCCAGCAGCCGCGGUAAUACAGAGGGUGCAAGCGUUAAUCGGAAUUACUGGGCGUAAAGCGCACGCAGAUGGCUUUGUAAGUCGGAUGUGAAAUCCCCGGGCGCAACCUGGGAACUGCAUUCGAAACUGCAUGGCUCGAGUGUGGAAGAGGGAAGCGGAAUUCCAGGUGUAGCGGUGAAAUGCGUAGAUAUCUGGAGGAACAUCAGUGGCGAAAGCGGCUUCCUGGUCCAACACUGACAUUCAGGUGCGAAAGCGUGGGGAGCAAACAGGAUUAGAUACCCGGGUAGUCCC
rnacentral:rRNA from 1 species